UGAUAUGAGUGAUAGGUGAUUGUAUAUUUAUAUUGGUUUUGUAUAUUCUUUGAUAUGUCAUUAUACAGAGAGUUCUCUACAAAAAAUCUGAGACUUUUUCAUGGUAUCAGAGCCAUAGAUAUUUUUUAGACAUACAACCAGAUAUGAAACCACCUCUAAAUCUACCUCCUAAAAAUGGCCUCGAAAAAAUCCACCUCUGAAAAAUGGCAUAUGAAAUCGGGCGAUCUGCCCCAUCUAAAAAAGUGCUCGUCUACCUGUUUUUGCCUCUACUUCUGGAU
rnacentral:lncRNA from 1 species